GCUACUACACACACCUCCUCUUUGAAGGUCAAGUAGAGUGCGUAAUAUACCACUCAGGUAUAGAUUUAUCAUUAAGAAUGACAACACAUCACACAUUAUUGAGAAUGAUGAUCUAAUGAUUUAUUCGAAAGCUAUCAUGAGUAGUGACUCUGAUAAAUAGCUUGAAGCUAUAAAAUUCAAAAAGGAUUUCAUGUAUGCCAACCAAGUUUGGACUUUGGUUGUUGCGCCU
rnacentral:lncRNA from 1 species